GAGAAAGUACCGGAAGACCAGGGUAAAGAACCGCACCUUGGGCAACUCACCAGUGGCCCAACAGCAAGCUCAUUUUAUGAUGACUUUUACUGGAUUCUGGGCACUGUGCCCAGCAUGGAGCCAACUGCUUCAUGACCACUUGGUGAGCUGGAAUGGUGCCCUGUUGGCAUGGGGACUGAUGGGAACCAGCAGCAGGAUCCCAGUGAGAAGCAUAAAGGGACUUUUAUUGAAACCAGUCAGAGCAGACUGUGGAUCAUGAUCACGACCAAUAGCAAAUUCUUGGUCCCUAUUCAGAAGAUUUGUUUGAUUUCCCCACCCCUGGAACAGCCUGCUGCCGAGUCUUCAGCAAACCCAGUGAAGACAGAAGCUGCCCUAGAGCCCGCACUCCUAUUGAUAUGCAACAGCACAUCAAGCCAGCAAUCAAACACACAAAUGCGGACUGGAUAUCACAAGCAUUUCAGAGCAGGAGUCUGCCAGACCUGCCUAUGCCAC